CCCACCCUCGUGAACAUGGAAUCCCUAGUAAUCGCGUGUCACUAGCGCGCGGUGAAUACGUCCCUGCUCCUUGCACACACCGCCCGUCGUUCCACCCGAGCGACUCUUGGGUGAGGUGCCGUCUCUUUGGCGGUAUCGAAUCUAAGUUUCGUGAGGGGGGAAAAGUCGUAACAAGGUGGCCGUAGGGGAACCUGCGGCCGGAUCACCUCCUAAGAAA
rnacentral:rRNA from 1 species